AGCGAACGCUGGCGGCAGGCUUAACACAUGCAAGUCGAGCGGGCACAUCGGUGUCAGCGGCAGACGGGUGAGUAACACGUGGGAACGUACCCUUUGGUUCGGAAUAACGCUGGGAAACUAGCGCUAAUACCGGAUACGCCCUUAUGGGGAAAGGCUUGCUGCCGAAGGAGCGGCCCGCGUCUGAUUAGCUAGUUGGUGGGGUAAUGGCUUACCAAGGCUACGAUUAGUAGCUGGGCUGAGAGGAGGAUCAGCCACACUGUGAGUGAGACACGGCCCCGACUCCUGCGGUAGGCAGCGGUCCGGACUCCUCCGGGAUGCGCGAAUGCGGAAUCUUGCACCGUCGCGUCAAGGCUGAUCCACCCCUGCCGGGAGAGUGCUGAUGGCCUUAGGGUUGUAAAGCUCUUUUAUCCGGGACGAUAAUGACGGUACCGUAAGAAUAAGCCCCGGCUAACUUCGUG
rnacentral:rRNA from 1 species